rnacentral:rRNA from 1 species
CAGAGCCACGGGAACACGGAGGGUGCAAGCGUUAAUCGGAAUUACUGGGCGUAAAGCGCACGCAGGCGGUCUGUCAAGUCAGAUGUGAAAUCCCCGGGCUUAACCUGGGAACUGCAUUUGAAACUGGCAGGCUAGAGUCUUGUAGAGGGGGGUAGAAUUCCAGGUGUAGCGGUGAAAUGCGUAGAGAUCUGGAGGAAUACCGGUGGCGAAGGCGGCCCCCUGGACAAAGACUGACGCUCAGGUGCGAAAGCGUGGGGAGCAAACAGGAUUAGAUACCCCUGUAGUCCCUGUCUCUUAUACA